rnacentral:tRNA from 1 species
UGGCUCAGAUGGUAAAGCAUCUGCCUUCAAUGCAGGAGACCCAGGUUCGAUCCCUUG